CCAGAGAACUUUCCAGAGAUGGAUUGGUGCCUUCGGGAACUCUGAGACAGGUGCUGCAUGGCUGUCGUCAGCUCGUGUUGUGAAAUGUUGGGUUAAGUCCCGCAACGAGCGCAACCCUUAUCCUUUGUUGCCAGCGGUUAGGCCGGGAACUCAAAGGAGACUGCCAGUGAUAAACUGGAGGAAGGUGGGGAUGACGUCAAGUCAUCAUGGCCCUUACGAGUAGGGCUACACACGUGCUACAAUGGCGCAUACAAAGAGAAGCGACCUCGCGAGAGCAAGCGGACCUCAUAAAGUGCGUCGUAGUCCGGAUUGGAGUCUGCAACUCGACUCCAUGAAGUCGGAAUCGCUAGUAAUCGUAGAUCAGAAUGCUACGGUGAAUACGUUCCCGGGCCUUGUACACACCGCCCGUCACACCAUGGGAGUGGGUUGCAAAAGAAGUAGGUAGCUUAACCUUCGGGAGGGCGCUUACCACUUUGUGAUUCAUGACUGGGGUGAAGUCGUAACAAGGUAGGCGUAGUGCU
rnacentral:rRNA from 1 species